rnacentral:rRNA from 1 species
GCUCAGAGUAUAAGCCAAUGGAGCUUGGAAGGCUUCCGCAGAUGGUGUCCAUCAUACGUGGUGUUCUUAAGACCUUGAGUGUGGCUCGUGAAGCGAAGCAUUGAGUUUGCCGACCAGCUGUCGUGCGGGGGGUUCAGCUUGGAAGGGUUGGGUUUCGGUCCAACAGUUUUCCUUCUGUCCCCUUUUGAAUGGACGUUCAGAGCUCUUGGUCUAAUGCGGUUAUGCCCACCACAGCACGUUGUGAGGUCACCCACAGGCUCAACUGCCGAUCGCGCAUCCAGGACGAUGGCAACGAUGCGUUGUCGAUGAUGGCUCGAGAGAGACUUCACUCACACGCGUGUCUAGUCCUGGGUCGGGCGGCGACCGAGAUAAACCUGGUACGAUCCUCUUGCGACGAGCUGCUUUCUGGCCAGACCGACGCCCGGACGCCUCCACUGUGCCGGAAGCGUCAACCCCAGGCGGUGUGAACCCAGCUGCAUUAUGCAAGGUCUCUCAGCCGGGCGUUGGUCUGAGUGGUGUUAAGUCCAGCACCAUCGGUCACGUCUCGAAACACGGGCCAAGGAGUAUAGCAUGUGUGCAAGUCUAAGGGUCUCACAAAACCCGAAGGCGAAGUGAAAGCAAGACUGUGGCGGGGGAGCUACGGCAAACCCGCCGGCCUAGUGGCGCGUGCGUCGCCUGGCUUUUAGCAGAGCUGAUCCUGUUUUCUCGGUUAAUUCUUGGUGCAGGCGCAAGCUCCGGGCUCACGUACAACACUGGUCACGCCUCGCG